CAGGUUUUGUUUCCAGGUUGUCAGUGUCAUGUCAGUGGAGAGACGAACUAGAGAGGAAGGGGUUCGAACCACAUGGCCUUUCUGCUUUAAUUGAUUAUCACAGAGAGGCACGCUGCCAGGAAACUUGGACUCGCGAUGCCUGUAAGCAGUCCGAAGAAUGUCCAGCGGAUGUAAAGUGGUGCUCUCUCCCCCUCGAUCUUAUCAUUAACUUGACAUUCAAAUUAAGUAUCCAACUCAGUCCUAUAGAGCCCAUUAAGAGACCAUGUGAGUUUUUGGCACUCUGCACUCUUGGCUUCAAGUUUUUUAGUGGGGGAGACUUAUCUAGCUUUUCACCACGUGGCGCGUGGGUGCUAUCAGAAGAAGGGAUAGAAGGAGAUUGGUGCACACUACCCCGAGAUGAGAGGGGUAAUAUCACCAUCGUUAUACCGAUAAGACUUAAGCAGGGCGUUCAUCGUGUGAGCGACGCCGAUCGAUUGUUCGAGGGC